UACAGAGGUCUCAAGCGUUGUUCGGAUUCAUUGGGCGUAAAGGGUGCGUAGGCGGCGCGGUAAGUCGGGUGUGAAAUCUCGGGGCUUAACUCCGAAACUGCAUUCGAUACUGCCGUGCUUGAGGACUGGAGAGGAGACUGGAAUUUACGGUGUAGCGGUGAAAUGCGUAGAUAUCGUUUGGAACGCCAAAGGUGAAAACAGGUCGCUGGGAGUGUGCUGACGCUGAGACACGAAAGCCAGGGGAGCAAACGGG
rnacentral:rRNA from 1 species